UUAAAUUGAAGAGUUUGAUCAUGGCUCAGAUUGAACGCUGGCGGCAGGCCUAACACAUGCAAGUCGAGCGGAAACGAGU
rnacentral:rRNA from 2 species